UGGGGAAUAUUGGACAAUGGGCGAAAGCCUGAUCCAGCCAUGCCGCGUGAGUGAUGAAGGCCCUAGGGUUGUAAAGCUCUUUUGUGCGGGAAGAUAAUGACGGUACCGCAAGAAUAAGCCCCGGCUAACUUCGUGCCAGCAGCCGCGGUAAUACGAAGGGGGCUAGCGUUGCUCGGAAUCACUGGGCGUAAAGGGUGCGUAGGCGGGUUUCUAAGUCAGAGGUGAAAGCCUGGAGCUCAACUCCAGAACUGCCUUUGAUACUGGAAGUCUUGAGUUCGGAAGAGGUGAGUGGAACUGCGAGUGUAGAGGUGAAAUUCGUAGAUAUUCGCAAGAACACCAGUGGCGAAGGCGGCUCACUGGCCCGAUACUGACGCUGAGGCACGAAAGCGUG
rnacentral:rRNA from 1 species